AUUGAACGCUAGCGGGAUGCUUUACACAUGCAAGUCGAACGAGUGGCGGACGGGUGAGUAAUAUAUCGGAAAGUGCCCAAUAGCGGGGGAUAACUACUCGAAAGAGUGGCUAAUAACGAAUACUAUUGGAGCGGCCGAUAUCGGAUUAGCUAGUUGGUGGGGUAAAGGCUCACACAGGCAACGAUCCGUAGCUGGUUUGAGAGGCCGACCAGCCACACUGGGACUGAGACACGGCCCCGACUCCUACGGGAGGCAGCAGGGGGGAAUUUUGGACAAUGGGGGCAACCCUGAUCCAGCCAUUCCGCGUGUAUGAGAAGGCCUUCGGGUUGUAAAGUACUUUUAGCAGAGAAGCGGUAUCUGCAGAAGAAGCACCGGCUAACUCCGUGCCAGCAGCCGCGGUAAUAC
rnacentral:rRNA from 1 species